UGAGGAAUAUUGGACAAUGGGUGAGAGCCUGAUCCAGCCAUCCCGCGUGAAGGACGACUGCCCUAUGGGUUGUAAACUUCUUUUGUAUAGGGAUAAACCUAGAUACGUGUAUCUAGCUGAAGGUACUAUACGAAUAAGCACCGGCUAACUCCGUGCCAGCAGCCGCGGUAAUACGGAGGGUGCAAGCGUUAUCCGGAUUUAUUGGGUUUAAAGGGUCCGUAGGCGGAUCUGUAAGUCAGUGGUGAAAUCUCAUAGCUCAACUAUGAAACUGCCAUUGAUACUGCAGGUCUUGAGUAAGGUAGAAGUGGCUGGAAUAAGUAGUGUAGCGGUGAAAUGCAUAGAUAUUACUUAGAACACCAAUUGCGAAGGCAGGUCACUAUGUCUUAACUGACGCUGAUGGACGAAAGCGUGGGGAGCGAACAGAUU
rnacentral:rRNA from 1 species